UACGUAGGGGGCAAGCGUUGUCCGGAAUCAUUGGGCGUAAAGCGCGUGUAGGCGGCCCGGUAAGUCCGCUGUGAAAGUCGGGGGCUCAACCCUCGAAUGCCGGUGGAUACUGUCGGGCUAGAGUGCGGGAGAGGCGAGUGGAAUUCCUGGUGUAGCGGUGAAGUGCGCAGAUAUCAGGAGGAACACCAAUUGCGAAGGCAGCUCGCUGGAACGUAACUGACGCUGAGACGCGAAAGCGUGGGGAGCAAACAGG
rnacentral:rRNA from 1 species